rnacentral:rRNA from 1 species
AGCCUGAUGCAGCCAUGCCGCGUGUAUGAAGAAGGCCUUCGGGUUGUAAAGUACUUUCAGUUGUGAGGAAGGGUGUGUAGUUAAUAGCUGCGCAUCUUGACGUUAGCAACAGAAGAAGCACCGGCUAACUCCGUGCCAGCAGCCGCGGUAAU